rnacentral:lncRNA from 1 species
AAGUUUAAAACAUAUGUUUUUUCCCGUUUUAGCACAAAACUUGGAAAAUACACAGUCGGAUUGAGGAGAACACAAGUCUAUAAGAUUAGUCCUAUCAAUUGUUCAUUAUUCUAUUAGCAACUAAAAUAGAGAGAUGGAUAGAUAUAUAGAGAAACAAUACCUAAUCAGAUCCCCCAAACAUCGUGAGGCAAUAUAAAAUGUCUGAAAAAAUAUAGUUCUCUGAAAUAUUGCAAGGGAGCCCCAAGACAUUGACAUUCUAAAUUGCUUAGAGCUUAAAUGCUUAAUACAAUCAUGCUUCUCCAUUUUGAGCCAAUCCACCUAACGUGGACUACUUCAUUAAUACAUGCAAUCAUUCCAGAUAGCCUGCAAAACAAGAGGUAAAAGUCAGUAAAUAUUGUACGAAUAAUUUUUUUAGUUGAAUUGAAAGGCUCAAAUUAAAAAUCAACAAAUAUAUGCAGGGUUAUUUCAUACUGCUAGUUUAUUGGGCAGCAUUAAUCUCCUUGUUGGCAUAUAAUGUAUAAUCCAAAACCAUAUUACCAAUUUUGGGGCAACUUUAUACUACUUGCGAAUAUAAAGAAUAUGAUUAACCAACAAAUAUUGGAUUGUAACAGAUGUGAAAAAAAUACUUCUAUGCUUCAACAAAUCAUAUGGUGUGAGUAUCGUCUGAAAGCUUUUAGGAUAAAUAAGGAUAGAGGGUUGUUUUGUUCAAGGAAACAGAAUGACUCUCCUUACACCAAGUCUAAGUUCAUCAUCAUUCAUCAUUGUUACAUGUAUAAAACAGGGAAAUACACAAUGAAUAAGAGGAAUAAGGAUAGAGAGCCGUUAACUUCAUCGCACUGUUCAUUUGCUUAUACUGAAGAAAUAAGAUAAGAUCCCCUGUGACAAAUCUAUUUAUAUUGACAAAUGAAUUCCCUCCAUUUGUUAAAAAGAUGCCUAUUUGGUUGAUCUGGAAGGCAAAAGAGAAUUUCAAAACAUGUAUAUGGUACCUUGCUAGAAGGAAAAAGAUAAAUGAUAUACUUGUCUCAAAAUCAGAAUGGAUGAUAGAAUUACAUAGAGCGGUUUGCCCAUUUCAAAGAUUCUCAGUGUUGUAAGGAACUGUGUCAACGAAUUCCCACAGAAAAUAUAGCGUUUGAUUCCAGGAAAUGAUUUAUUUCUGUUACUCACAAACAACAUGUACAACAUUGAGAAGCUCCUCGUGAAUCAAGCUUACAACACUGAGCAUUAGAAAAUCAUACUCUCUUCUUGCUACACAGGAGCCGUACUGCGGCCUUGGUGUUUUUCCUAAUUUCUUUAGGUAUGUGAGGUCGAUUUAAUAUUCACAUAUAUGCUGAAAUUCAGACACCGAAGAACCAGCAGUGGAGUUAUAUGAAAUUUCUUGCGAGAGCUACACCAUUCUUUUUAGUACUGACUAAUUCUCAUGAGUACCAGUGGUGAAAUUUUCAGGCCUAAAUACUGUAUGAGAUUCUCAUUGCCGGCAUUCUUCAUGAACCUAUCAAGGAGAACAUUUCAAUACUAAUUGCAGCACAUGUUUGGGCGGUACUGGGGCAUGUGGUGGCACUGGAGCAGCCACACACUUGUACCCGGCACUACUGCGUGUCAAUGCAGAUUAGAGAGAUAUAUAGUUUAGGAUCCAGAGAUGGAAGAAGAUACCUGGGCCGACACUGCUCUCGUUGAUUCAAAAAUCCCUAGGACCAUCCCCCAGCAGCGGCCCCU